GUCUUAACCAUGUCAUAGGUCUUUAAUGCCCUGAGCCUCAAACGUGAGUGUAAUGGUAGCCAAAUGUCCUGGCAUUGGAGCAUUUCUCUAAUACAGAAGCUGCAGCCCUGAACUGAGCAACCAAAUUGCUCCUAUGGUGAUGUGGAAACCUCAGGGAACUGAAUCUGGUGAAUCCUGAAGACCUGUGCCUGAGAAAAGCUCUACCUUUCCUUGUGUGAGCAGCUGUCUGGUGCUAUGUGGAUGUUUAACCAGUGAACUGCUUGGCAAUAAAGAAUCCCAGCAGCAGCUUGGACUUGCCUUGUUGUAUUGCUCAGUGACACUGCUGACCUCAGUCCAGAAGCGAAAGCGAAAAUCCAUUAUGAAAUCUAGUUGCAUUAUAAAGAAGGAGGAGCCCGUAGUGUGCCUGUUUCUCUGGGAUCCAAGUGGCUUCUGCAUCUCCUGUGCAGGGCUCUGGAAGAGGAGCUGAAUGAUUGGGAGUUGGAAAGAACUGCUCAGGCACUCGGAGAAGGGAAUGGAAGAGGCAGGAAAGCUUCCUCAGGCAAAGCAGCUUUUGAGGGAGAAGACUGAAGGAGGAGCCUGAUGAGCCUGACCUGGGACCACAGAGGAUCUCAGAGAAGAUCCAGCACCACUGGAACUGAGCACCCAGGGCAGCCAGAUGGACUCUCCCCACCUCAUGGGGUUGUGUUUCCUGCUCCUGGCUGUUGCAGCUCCCU